rnacentral:rRNA from 1 species
AAUGAACGUUGGCGGCGUGGAUUAGGCAUGCAAGUCGUGCGCGAAUCGUAGCAAUACGAGGAGAGCGGCGAAAGGGAGAGGAUAGCAUAGAUACCUACCCUCGGAUCGGGCUAGCCACGGGAAACAGUGGGUAAUACCAGAUGAUGUCUUCGGACCAAAGGUGUGAUUCCGUUCGGGGAGGGGCCGCAUUCCUGUUAGCUAGUUGGGUGGGUAACGGCCUACCAAGGCAAUGAUGGUUACGGGGCGGUGGAGCGUGCCCCCGCUCACUGGGACUGAGACACUGCCCAGACACCUACGGGUGGCUGCAGUCGAGGAUCUUCGGCAAUGGGCGCAAGCCUGACCGAGCGACGCCGCGUGCGGGAUGAAGGCCUUCGGGUUGUAAACCGCCGUCGGAGGGGAGGAAAUGCUUAGGGGUUCUCCCCUAGGUUUGACCUAUCCUCAGAGGAAGUACGGGCUAAGUUCGUGCCAGCAGCCGCCGUAAGAC